UGAGGAAUAUUGGUCAAUGGGCGAGAGCCUGAACCAGCCAAGUAGCGUGAAGGAUGACUGCCCUAUGGGUUGUAAACUUCUUUUAUAAAGGAAUAAAGUCGGGUAUGGAUACCCGUUUGCAUGUACUUUAUGAAUAAGGAUCGGCUAACUCCGUGCCAGCAGCGCGGUAAAGAUGUCU
rnacentral:rRNA from 1 species